rnacentral:rRNA from 1 species
GACGAACGCUGGCGGCGUGCUUAACACAUGCAAGUCGAACGGAAAGGCCUCUUUCGGGGGGUACUCGAGUGGCGAACGGGUGAGUAACACGUGAGUAACCUGCCCUUGACUUUGGGAUAACUUCAGGAAACUGGGGCUAAUACCGGAUAGGAGCUCCUGCUGCAUGGUGGGGGUUGGAAAGUUUCGGCGGUUGGGGAUGGACUCGCGGCUUAUCAGCUUGUUGGUGGGGUAGUGGCUUACCAAGGCUUUGACGGGUAGCCGGCCUGAGAGGGUGACCGGCCACAUUGGGACUGAGAUACGGCCCAGACUCCUACGGGAGGCAGCGGUGGGGAAGAUUGCACAAUGGGUGGAAGCCUGAUGCAGCAACGCCGUGUGCGGGAUGACGGCCUUCGGGUUGUAAACCGCUUUCGCUCAUGACGAAGCUUUGUGUGACGGUAGUGGGUAAAGAAGCACCGGCUAACUACGUG